UUUUAUUUAGUUUAUUUAAAACAUUAUAUUUUCAAUAUAAAAAUAAUUUUUUAAAAUUAAUAAAAAUA
rnacentral:tRNA from 1 species